CAGGGAAUAGUUUAAUUAAAAUAUUAGUUUUGGGAAUUAGUGAUAGAGAAUAUCUUUCCUUGA
rnacentral:tRNA from 1 species